CAGAUGGGAAGAGCGUGGGCUGGGGCAGAUCUGGAUUUCUGUCCUGGCCCUGCCACCCAGGAACUGUUUAUGUUGGCAACGAUUUAAUCUUUCUGAGGCUCGGGCUGAACAUGUAAAAUGUGAUAACACCUACUUUAACAGGGCUGUGAAUACCAAAUGAAGGAGGUUCUGGAACAUUACAGACGCACCGAGGAGGAGAUGUACACUGUCAUUUUUUUCUUUUACGUGAAUUCUUUCGGAAAACACUUUAAAGCUGGUAUAUUGUGCUAGUGGGUGUGGUUAAUAUUCCAUCCGGACGAGCCUGAACACAAGCCUCCGCAGAUCAGGGCUCUCAGCCCUGCCUUUCGUUUUCAUGUGAGGAAAUGAGGUGGGUUAGGUUGGAGUAGUCAUGGAGACUCCUGUUGCUGGCCUACUGUGUGUGGGUUUCCUGAAGGAACAGGUUUCCGUGGGGUAGGGUUGGAGGACUUGGGAGCUGUAUAGAACAAGAACUUUCUUCCACAUGAGGAUGCACAUCCACUCUGUCACCAUAUCCUAGGGUGCCUCUGGCCUUCAGGUCUGCAACUGGAUACUCACUUCCCCAGAAUGAAAGGAAACAGACGGUAGUCAAGGAGGUACAAUGGGGUUCCUAGACUGUAAUGAGAGUUGAGAAACUGAGCGAAGUAUAAGCCAGCAUGCAUGUGAGUGUGCACAGUCAUUUGCCUCUGCUCUCGACACUGUGAUGUGGCCAGCUGUUGGAAGAUCCUGCCCUGACUUCUGUACAAAGAUCGACUAUAAACUGGAAUUGGGAGCUGAAAUAAACCCUCCACCUCUACAUUGCUUUUUGUCUGGGUAUUUCAUC
rnacentral:lncRNA from 1 species